UACGUAGGGUGCAAGCGUUAAUCGGAAUUACUGGGCGUAAAGCGUGCGCAGGCGGUUUCGUAAGUCUGUCGUGAAAGCCCCGGGCUCAACCUGGGAAUUGCGAUGGAGACUGCGAGGCUAGAGUGUGUCAGAGGGGGGUAGAAUUCCACGUGUAGCAGUGAAAUGCGUAGAUAUGUGGAGGAACACCGAUGGCGAAGGCAGCCCCCUGGGUCAAGACUGACGCUCAUGCACGAAAGCGUGGGGAGCAAACAGG
rnacentral:rRNA from 1 species